GAUGAACGCUAGCGGCAGGCCUAAUACAUGCAAGUCGAGGGGUAGAGCUAGCUUGCUAGCUUGAGACCGGCGCACGGGUGCGUAACGCGUAUGCAACCUACCUCAAUCAGGGGGAUAGCCCGGAGAAAUCCGGAUUAACACCGCAUAAAAACACAGGGUAGCAUUACCCAAUGUUCAAAUAUCCAUAGGAUUGGGAUGGGCAUGCGUGCCAUUAGCUAGUUGGCGGGGUAACGGCCCACCAAGGCGACGAUGGCUAGGGGAUCUGAGAGGAUGACCCCCCACACGGGUACUGAGGCACGGACCAGACUCCUACGGGAGGCAGCAGUAAGGAAUAUUGGUCAAUGGGGGCAACCCUGAACCAGCCAUGCCGCGUGCAGGAUGACGGCCCUCCGGGUUGUAAACUGCUUUUGUACGGGAAUAAACCUUUCUUCGUGAAGAAAGCUGAAUGUACCGUAAGAAUAAGGAUCGGCUAACUCCGUGCCAGCCGCCGCAGUAA
rnacentral:rRNA from 1 species